rnacentral:rRNA from 1 species
CGAUAAGCCAUGGUCAGCCGCAAGCAGGCAAUGACCCAUGGAUUUCCGAAUGCGGAAACGCGGCACGUUAACAGCGUGUCAUCAUGUCAUGAAUAAAUAGUGACAUGAGGGGAACCCGGUGAACUGAAACAUCUAAGUAGCCGGAGGAAGAGAAAGAAACAUCGAUUUCCUUAGUAGCGGCGAGCGAAAGGGAAAGAGCCCAAACCGAGGGUCUACGGACGUUCGGGGUUCGGACUUGCAAAAAUCGAAGUACUUAUAGACGAAGAGGUUUGGAACUUCCUACCAAAGAGGGUAACAGUCCCGUAGUCGAAAUGAGUACAAGAGGGCGAGAAUCCAGAGUACCACAGGACACGAGUAAUCCGGUGGGAAGACGGGGGGCCCACCCCCCAAGGCUAAAUACUACUUGGUGACCGAUAGCGUAUAGUACCGUGAGGGAAAGGUGAAAAGAACCCCGGGAGGGGAGUGAAAGAGUACCUGAAACCCUAUGUUUACAAGCAGUGGGAGCGAGAGCGACCAUGUACUUUUUGUAGAACGGGCCGGCGAGUUACUGUGUGCAGCGAGGUUAAGUUGUUAAGCAACGGAGCCGAAGGGAUACCGAGUCUGAAAAGGGCGUAAAGUUGCAUGCAGUACACCCGAAACCGGGUGACCUAUCCAUGGACAGGAUGAAGCGACGGUAAGACGUCGUGGAGGUCCGAACCACACGUACGUGAAAAGUGCGGGGAUGAGCUGUGGAUAGCGGAGAAAUUCCAAUCGAACUCGGAGAUAGCUGGUUCUCCCCGAAAUAGCUUUAGGGCUAGCCUCGAUUUAGAUUACCGGGGGUAGAGCACUGAAUGGGCUAGGGGGCCACAAAGCUUACCGAACCCUAUCAAACUUCGAAUACCGGAUAAUUGAUGAUCGGGAGUCAGACAGUGUGAGAUAAGUUUCAUUGUCGAAAGGGAAACAGCCCAGAUCUACGACUAAGGUCCCAAAGUUCAAGUUAAGUGGAAAAGGAUGUGCAAUUGCGUAGACAACCAGGAUGUUGGCUUAGUAGCAGCCAUUCAUUCAAAGAGUGCGUAAUAGCUCACUGGUCGAGUGAUUGUGCGCCGAAAAUGUAACGGGGCUAAACUUGACACCGAAGUCUAGGCAGAAGUAAACUUCUGGGUAGGGGAGCAACGUGUACGGGCAGAAGCAGAAGCGGAAGCGACUGUGGACUGUACAGGAGAGAGAAUGCCGGCAUGAGUAGCGAGAGCAAAGUGAGAAUCUUUGCCGUCGAAAGCCUAAGGUUUCCUGAGGAAGGCUCGUCCUCUCAGGGUAAGUCGGGACCUAAGCCGAGGACAAUAGUCGUAGGCGAUGGACAAUCGGUUAAUAUUCCGAUACCGCCGAGCAACCGGAUGCAGUGACACAGAAGGAUAGGCAGAGCGUGGCGAUGGUAGACCACGUCCAAGCAGUGAGGCUGUUGUGUAGUGAAGUACGCACAACGGAAGGCUGGGCUGUGAUGGGGAACGAUUACGAUCGGUAAGCUGCUGAAUUCACGCUGGCGAGAAAAGCUGCUACGAAGCGAAGGCGCCCGUACCGCAAACCGACACAGGUAGGCGAGGAGAGAAUCCUAAGACGAGCGGGAGAACCCAUGUUAAGGAACUCGGCAAAAUGACCCUGUAACUUCGGGAUAAAGGGAGCCACGAGAGUGGCCGCAGAGAAUAGGCCCAAGCGACUGUUUACCAAAAACACAGGUCUGUGCGAAGUAGAGAUACGACGUAUACGGGCUGACACCUGCCCAGUGCCGGAAGGUUAAGGGGAAAUGUUAGGGCAACCGAAGCAUGGAACUUAAGCCCCGGUGAACGGCGGCCGUAACUAUAACGGUCCUAAGGUAGCGAAAUUCCUUGUCGGGUAAGUUCCGACCCGCACGAAUGGCGUAACGACUUGGGCACUGUCUCAACAUGGGACCCGGCGAAAUUGUAGUAUGUGUGAAGAUGCACAUUACCCGCGAUAGGACGGAAAGACCCCGUAGAGCUUUACUGCAACUUGGCAUUGGAUUUUGGUAUUAGAUGUACAGGAUAGGUGGGAGACUAAGAAGCGAUGACGCCAGUUGUCGCAGAGUCACUGUUGGGAUACCACCCUUCUAAUACUAGGAUUCUAACGAUAGGCCGUUAGCCGGCUAUCGGACAGUACCAGGUG